rnacentral:rRNA from 1 species
UACAGAGGGUGCGAGCGUUAAUCGGAAUUACUGGGCGUAAAGCGUGCGUAGACGGUUAUGUAAGUCGGAUGUGAAAGCCCCGGGCUCAACCUGGGAAUUGCAUUCGAGACUGCAUAGCUAGGAUGCGGAAGAGGGAAGUGGAAUUUCCGGUGUAGCGGUGAAAUGCGUAGAUAUCGGAAGGAACAUCAGUGGCGAAAGCGACUUCCUGGUCCAGCAUCGACGUUCAGGCACGAAAGCGUGGGUAGCAAACAGG